rnacentral:rRNA from 1 species
AGAGUUUGAUCCUGGCUCAGAUUGAACGUUUGCGGCAUGCCUUACACAUGCAAGUCGAACGGCAGCACGGGAGCUUGCUCCUGGUGGCGAGUGGCGAACGGGUGAGUAAUAUAUCGGAACGUACCCUAGAGUGGGGGAUAACGCAACGAAAGUUGCGCUAAUACCGCAUACGAUCUACGGAUGAAAGUGGGGGAUCGCAAGACCUCAUGCUCAUGGAGCGGCCGAUAUCUGAUUAGCUAGUUGGUGGGGUAAAGGCCUACCAAGGCAUCGAUCAGUAGCUGGUCUGAGAGGACGACCAGCCACACUGGAACUGAGACACGGUCCAGACUCCUACGGGAGGCAGCAGUGGGGAAUUUUGGACAAUGGGGGCAACCCUGAUCCAGCAAUGCCGCGUGAGUGAAGAAGGCCUUCGGGUUGUAAAGCUCUUUUGUCAGGGAAGAAACGGUGAGGGCUAAUAUCCUUUGCUAAUGACGGUACCUGAAGAAUAAGCACCGGCUAACUACGUGCCAGCAGCCGCGGUAAUACGUAGGGUGCAAGCGUUAAUCGGAAUUACUGGGCGUAAAGCGUGCGCAGGCGGUUAUGUAAGUCAGAUGUGAAAUCCCCGGGCUCAACCUGGGAAUGGCAUUUGAGACUGCAUGGCUAGAGUGUGUCAGAGGGGGGUAGAAUUCCACGUGUAGCAGUGAGAUGCGUAGAGAUGUGGAGGAAUACCGAUGGCGAAGGCAGCCCCCUGGGAUAACACUGACGCUCAUGCACGAAAGCGUGGGGAGCAAACAGAAUUAGAUACCCUGGUAGUCCACGCCCUAAACGACCUCAAAGAGUUGUUGGUGGAGUAAAAUCCAGGAGUAACGCAGUAAACGCGGGAAGUAGACCGCCUGGGGAGUACGGUCGCAAGAUUAAAACUCAAAGGAAUGGACGGGGGGCCCGCACAAGCGGUGGAUUAUGUGGAUUAAUUCGAUGCAACGCGAAAAACCUUACCUGGCCUUGACAUGCCACUAACGAAGCAGAGAUGCAUUAGGUGCCCGAAAGGGAAAGUGGACACAGGUGCUGCAUGGCUGUCGUCAGCUCGUGUCGUGAGAUGUUGGGUUAAGUCCCGCAACGAG